UGUUUUUAUACGACCGCAAAAAAAUUUUUGUGGUCGUAUAUUGGUAUGACGUUGGCGUCGUCGUCCGAAUACACAUUAGUUUUCGCACUCUAACUUUAGUUUAAGUGAAUGGAUCUCAAUGAAAUUUUACCAUAAGGUUCAAUACCACAAAAGGAAGGUGGGGAUUGAUUUUGGGGGUUAUGGUACUAACAGUUAAGGAAUUAGGGGCCAAAAGGGGCCAAAAAUAAGCAUUUUUGUAACUUCCAGACAUAACUUGUGUGUAAGUGUAUGGAUCUCUCUGACAUUGUACCACAAGGUUCCAUAUCACAAAGGGAAUGCUGGGAUUGAUUUUGGGGGUAAUUGCCUCCAAAUUUUAGGAAUUAGGGGCCAAAAAGGGGCAAAAAACAAGCAUUUUUCUUGUUUCAUGACAAUAACUUGUUUGUAAGUGUAUGGAUCUUUAUGAAAUUGUACUACAAGGUUCCAUAUCACAAAGGGAAUACUGGGAUUGAUUUUUGGGGUAAUUUCCUCCAAAUUUUAGGAAUUAGGGGCCAAAAAGGGGCAAAAAACAAGCAUUUUUCUAGUUUCAUGACAAUAACUUGUUUGUAAGUGUAUGGAUCUUUAUGAAAUUGUACUACAAGGUUCCAUAUCACAAAGGGAAAGCUGGAAUUGAGUUUGGGGGUAAUUGCCCUAAACGUUUAGGAAUUUGGGGCCAAAAAACAAGCAUUUUUCUAGUUUCCAGACAAUAACUUGUGUUCAAGUGUAUGAAUCUCUCUGAAAUUGUACUGCAAGGUACCAUACCACAAAGGGAAAGCUGGGAUUGAGUUUGGGGCUGAUGAAUCAUAAGGGGGUUCAAAAAAUUGGGGGGGACUUUUUUUUUCCUUUUUUUUCUUUAACAUUUUCCAUUUUAAAUUGGUUAUUUCUGAUUUAUAUAUAAAAGCAAAUAAUAAUGAUAUGGUUUGAAUAGGCAUACAUGUGAACCUCCCGACGGGAGUACAAUAAUCCCGUUUUCAGGGGUCUCCUCCCGACCUCCCGUUGAAGAGGAAAAAAUCCCGUGUAUGAAAUUUUUCAUGAAUGAAAAAUUUCUGCCCAACAUAUCAUCUCAGGCAUCUGGUGUAACUGACAUUACCUGAAGUUAUAUUUUACCUGUAAAUCAAUUAACAUGCAUAAUUAUAUGGCUUCACUUGUCAGCUUGGGUGUCAAACAUACUGGUAAUCAACGAUUUUUACCUCAGGCUAACUGCCGUUGUGUAACAAAAACUGUGUAUUUAUUGGGUUACUUCCCUUGAUUUAUCCUGUUUUAAGUUACUUUCCUUUUAAUAAUGAAAAUUUUUAAAAGAAUAUAAAUAAAAUAUAAAUUGAACAAAUAAUCAUAAAAGGAUGGUUAUUAAAUGAUUUUAAAUGUCUUAGGACAAAUAAAAAAAUAAUAAUUUGAAAAUUAUUUGAGGAUUCUAUACUUCCUUUCAAGGCUUAAAUUGAAAUUUAUAUAAUAACUAUGACCCAUAUUUUACAGAUAGAAUGAUUUUCUGAGUUUGCAAAUAAAAACUAUUUGCAAGAGAAAAAAAAAAAAAUAAAAA